rnacentral:rRNA from 1 species
UACAGGGGGUGCAAACGUUGCUCGGAAUUAUUGGGCGUAAAGCGCGCGUAGGCGGCCACUUAAGUCGGAUGUGAAAGCCCCUGGCUCAACUGGGGAAGUGCACCCGAAACUGUGAAGCUUGAGGCUGGGAGAGGAGAUCGGAAUUCCUGGUGUAGCGGUGAAAUGCGUAGAUAUCAGGAGGAACACCGGUGGCGAAGGCGGAUCUCUGGACCAGUUCUGACACUGAUGAGCGAAAGCCAGGGGAGCAAACAGG